rnacentral:rRNA from 1 species
GUGCCAGCAGCCGCGGUAAUACGGAGGGUCCGAGCGUUAUCCGGAUUUAUUGGGUUUAAAGGGUGCGUAGGCGGUUUUAUAAGUCAGCGGGGAAAUUUUCCGGCUCAACCGGGAUACUGCCGUUGAUACUGUAAGGCUAGGAUAUGGUUGCUGUGGGUGGUAUGUGUGGUGUAGCGGUGAAAAGCUUACAAAUCACACAGAAUAUCGAUUGCGAAGGCAGCUCAC